AUUGAACGCUGGCGGCAGGCCUAACACAUGCAAGUCGAACGAGUGGCGGACGGGUGAGUAAUGUCUGGGAAACUGCCCGAUGGAGGGGGAUAACUACUGGAAACGGUGGCUAAUACCGCAUACCAUCGGAUGUGCCCAGAUGGGAUUAGCUAGUAGGUGGGGUAACGGCUCACCUAGGCGACGAUCCCUAGCUGGUCUGAGAUGAUGACCAGCCCCCCUGGUCCUGCGACACGGUCCAGACUCCGACGUGAGGCAGCGGUGGGGAAUAUUGCACAACGGGCGCAAGCCUGAUGCAGCAACGCCGCGUGCGGGAUGACGGCCUUCGGGUUGUAACCCGCUUUCAGCCAUUACGCGGUAGUGGCAGAAGAAGCACCGGCUAACUACGUGCCAGCAGCCGCGGUAAUUC
rnacentral:rRNA from 1 species